CUGCUAGUUUCCUACCCAAAGUCUACUAAACCAUAUUCUUAACUAAUAAAACCUGUAAAUUUCUAGGUGCAGAAAAAAAAUGUCUGGCUUUCCUUCCUGAUGGGGUGGCCAGUGAAAUGUCAGCAAAUGCAUUGGAUGAGAUUGCUGGAAAACAUCUUUGCUCCUGUCCCUUCUUUCUUAAAUAGAACAUGGGCAGGAUAGCUGGAGGCUCAGCAGCCUUGUCUGUGGACCUGAGGUGACCUUAAGGAAAAGCACUAAUAAGGAUGGAGAAAUUAAAAACAAAAACAGCCUGUGACAUAGAAGGCAUCACAGCACCACCACACUGGCCCUCGGCUACUUACAUUUAGGUUGGUGCAAAGGUAAUCACGCUUUUUGUCAUUAAUUUCAACAGCAAAAACCAAUAUUACCUCCAGUCAGCGAGGGUGGUCCCAGUGUGUCCGAAAUUGGUGGGUUCUUGGUCUCACAGCCUUCAAGAAUGAAGCCGCAGACCCUCACAGUGAGUGUUACAGUUCUUAAAGGUGGCAUGUCCUGAGUUUGUUCCUUCUGACGUUCCAGCCUGUUCAGAGUUUCUUCCUUCUGGUGGGUUCGUGGUCUCGCUGGCUCAAAAGUGAAGCUGCAGAUCUUCGGGUGUUAACAGCUCUUAAGUUGGGGCGUCUGGAGUUGUUUGUUCUUCCCAGUGGGUUCUUUGUCUCGCUGGCUUCAGGACUGAACCUGUAAAUCUUCACCAUGAGUGUUACAGCUCAUAAAUGCAGUGUAAACCCAAAGAGUGGGCAGUAGCAAGAUUUAUUGCAAAGAGCUAAAGAACAAAACUUACACUGUGGCAGGCCACUCUAGCAACUUGCUAGUGCUAGCGCGGAGCAGCCUGCUUUUAUUCUCUUAUCUGGCCCCACCCACAUCCUGCUGAUUGGUCCAUUUUACAGAGAGCCGAUUGGUCUGUUUUACAGAGAGCUGAUUGGUCCAUUUUGACAGAGUGCUGAUUGGUGCGUUUACAAUCCCUGAGUUCGACACAAAAGUUCUCCACGGCCCCACUAAAUUAGCUAGAAACAGAGUGUCGAUUGGUGCAUUCACAAACCCUGAGCUAGACACAGGGUGCUGAUUGGUGUGUUUACAAACCUUGAGCUAGAUACAGAGUGCUGAUUGGUGCAUUCACAAUCCCCCAGCUAGACAUAAAGAUUCUCCAAGUCCCCACCAGACUCAGGAGUCCAGCUGGCUUCAUCCAGUGGAUCUCACACCGGGGCCGCAGGUGGAGCUGCCUGCCACUCCGUCGCCGUGCGCUGGCACUCCUCAGACCUUGGGCAGUGGAUGGGAUCGGGCGCCGUGGAACAUGGGGCAGCGCUCGUCGGGGAGACUCAGGCCCGGCAGGAGCAUCUGGCAGUGCGGAGGGAGACUCAGGCAUGGCAGGCUGCAGGUCCCCAGCCCUGCCCGAGGGGAGGCAGCUAAGGCACGGCAAGAAAUCCAGCACAGAGCCGGUGGGCCGGCACUGCUGGGGGACCCGGCACACCCUCCGCAGCUGCUGGCCCGGGUAGUAAGCUCCUCACUGCCCGGGACUUGCGAGCCGGCCUGCGGCUCCCAGUGUGAGGCCCGCUGAGCCCACGCCCACCCGGAACUCGUGCUGGCCCGCAGGCACCCGCGAAGCCCUGGUUCCCGCCCAUGCCUCUCCCUCCACACCUCCCUGCAAGCUGAGGGAGCUGGCUCCGGUCUCGGCCAGCCCAGCAAGGGGCUCCCACAGUGCGGCGGCGGGCUGGAGGGCUCCUCAAGUGCCGUCAAAGUGGGAGCCCAGGCAGAGGAGGCGCCGAGAGCGAGCGUGGGCUGCGAGGGCUACCAGCACACUGUCAACUCUCACCACGGCCAUCCCUCUUUCCAAUCAAGCCGACCUGGAAAACAGAAACUCAAAGCAAAGAGCUCAUCCUACUUCCUCUUUACCCUCCUGUCUGUCACCUUGCUGAAGAAUCUCACUCAUGUGCACAUCAGUUUCAAGUUCUGUCUCUAUUCUCUGCAUGGCCACGGAGAAGCCACCAGCUGAUACCAGAGCGGCAAAGGGUUGUGUGGGAGAUGAGGAAUUCCGCCUGGAAGAGGCUGAGUGCUGGAGUCCGGUGGUGCGAUCUCGGCUCACUGCAACCUCCGCCUCCCGGGUUCACACCAUUCUCCUGCCUCAGCCUCCGGAGUAGCUGGGGUUACAGGCCCCCAGUCCACUUUCUUGGAGUCUGCUGUGUCUGACCAAAAAGCCCAUCUUCGCCACAUCUAAAGCUGGAAGUUCAUUUGCCAGCGUUGUUUAGAGCAAAAAGGUUUUCCUUGUGUUAACUCCCUUCUUCCCCCUUUGCUGUGGUGUCUACACAAUCGGGCACUUUCUCUUCCAAACGCUGAGCCCUCAUAAGUGCUCCCUGACGGAGGACUUAACAGAGAAGCAGUUGAAAGUAGACUUGGCUUCUGGCUCCUAAGAUGAUAAGAAAACUUUGCCAUUUCCCCUUCAUGUCCACUAGCUUUAUCAGAUGGAAGAAAUGAGUGAAUGACUCACAGUCACUAGCAAAUCACAGGCGGAGGAGGCAGGGGCUGCCUUAGAGCCCUGUGGACUUCAGCGUGGCCUUUUGUCUCCCAUGCCACAGCCUGUGUGGGACACAUGGCAGGGACAUCAGGGAGGCAGCCACUCUUGGCCCGCUCAUCACCACCAUCCACGAGACUCCACAGGUUCCACGAGGGGCAUUAAAAAUAACCCUGUCUACAUGGGAGGCCUUACAAGAGUGGUGACCAGCAUGACUCAUUUUUAUCUCUGUGGAAAAAGGAGGAAGUUGUUUAUGUGGAGGGUGCUGCCUGCUGUAACAGGUCAAGGCAUAAUGAGAGAGCUCCAAAUAUUUAAAAGAAUGAGCAAUAGAAAGCAGUUUCCCCAUUGCAUUUUUACAUUUUAACAAAGGAAUGUUGAGACUUAAAGCAUUCAUUUUUACUUUAAAGCAGUUUCCCAGGCUAUAAACUUUGACAGGUUUUCACACAAGUAGCAGACACUAAUUUGAAAUAAAACUAAAUUCCAUGCUGCUUGAAGUGAGCUGAAAUAGAUAAUUCCACAUAGUUUAAGAAUUAAAAUGUGUUAUUCUUGGGGUCAUUGCAUUCUUGCAAGGUGGAAAUUAUUACAUAAUAUUUCUCUGUGACAGCCUCCUCUUUGGGGUCAUGAAAAUAACAUUUACCUUAAAUGAUCCAUGCCAACAUCGCUAUACAAUCAAUAGCAACACUGUGUGGUUUUGAAUCAGAUGUACUUCUGAUAACUGCCGUAUAAAAUGCAUGAGCCUCACUUUUCCAACCCAAAAUGAAAGUCGACAUAGAAAAACAGCAAAAGAUGUCAACAGACUGAACUCACACAGAGGGGAAAAAAGGAAAAAAACUUAGACAAUGAAGGGUUGGCUUUGAAGUGGUCCAUUCUUUAUUAAGCUAAGGGACAGCCUGAAUCCCUAGCAUAGUUUACUUAAUCCAGGUCCUUAAAAAGUUUUGGAUUCGAUUCAGAUAUGGUGAGCUCCUAAGCUGAACAUUUCCACAGCUGACAUGACUUCCUGGCUAGUGAGCUCGGCAUUAGAAAUGUCUGCAGGAUACAGUCCACAGUGGCACAGCACAGAAAACCGGCGCUCCUCCCUCCUAUUCCCAGGCUCCUGAGUGAUACAAUCAAGAGGGAACUGGGAUUUGUAAGAAAGAAACAGAAUCGACCUCCCAUUGUGAAUUUAGCCUCUCAGUCAGAUUUUGAGCAAAAGUAAAGCAACAAAAACAAAAGUGCCAAGGAAGAAUCCAGCCCUUUGUGCAGUUUCUCUUUCAGUAACCCCUUCCCAGCAGGCUUGGUUAUCACAAUGAGAAGUUAGAGACAACAAAAUUAGCUAUCUUUGAAGGCUACGUAUGUUAUGAUAUAUGAGCCAACUGAAAACUAAUUAACAGUUAAAAACGAUUAGGCUGUGGCCAGGCACAGUGGCUCACGCCUGUAAUCUCAACACUUUGGGAAGCUGAGACGAGGGGAAGGACUACUUGAGGCCAGGAGUUUGAGGCCGCAGUGAGCUAGGAGCACUCCAUCCUGGGUCACAAAGCAAGACCCUGUCUCUAAAAUAAUAAUAAUAAUUAAGUAAAUUGUAUGCAUCAAUAUGUAAAAAAUAACCAAAAAAUAACCAAG
rnacentral:lncRNA from 10 species